rnacentral:rRNA from 1 species
AGUUUAUUUUUAAAAUUUUUGUAUGUGGAACAAGAGAAGAAGAGGCUUUUAGUUAUUUGUUUUUUAUUGUUUGGUAUUGCAUAUCAUUAAAGGAUUAUUUUAUUAUUUAUAAUUAAUAGAAAUAGAAGGUGGAGAAUUUUUGAUUUUAUUAUUGUAUAAUAGGAAUUAUUGUUUUUUGUUUUGAUAUAACGUCUUUUAUGGUAUCUGUUUAUUUUGGUUUUUUUAGAAAAUUAUAAUCUUUGUUUUAUAUUUUAGAUGCUUAUGAUUUGAAGUUUUUUUAGUUUUAGUGUUAUGACUUUUUCUUUCUUGAGGUAUUUUCUGAUUUUUAAAUUAUUAAUAUUUUAAUAAUUGUAUGAUUUUUAAUUUAGUAUAUUUAUAAAUAGACUUUUUAUUUUAAAUUUAAAUUGGAGAACUGGAUUUAUGAUCAAAUGUUUAUUAAAGACUGAGAUGUUAAUUUAAUAUUGUCCUCUGCUCUAUGAUAUUUUAAAUGGCCGCCUUAGCGUGAGGGCAUGAAAGUAGCAAAAUAAUUUGUGCUUUUAAUGGGUUCGAGUAUGAAAGGGGGUUUGGUUAUUUUUAUUUCUAUUUUUUUUUUGAAUUAUAGGGAUGUUUAAUAAUUAAUAUUUGUAUUUUAACAAAGAUAACUCUUCAGAAAUUCUUUUAGUUAUAUUAUUUUUUUAUGUAGUAACUAUGUUGCUUAGGGCAGGAUUUUUUAUAAAUUGUUUUACUAUAUUUAUUAAAGUGAGUUACUCCGGAGUUAACAGAAAAUCACAUUUUUUCUAGAUGUUAUAGAUAAGAGGGUUUUACUCGAUGUUGUAUUCU